rnacentral:rRNA from 1 species
CCUACGGGUGGCAGCAGUGGGGAAUUUUGGACAAUGGCGCAAGCCUGAUCCAGCCAUGCCGCGUGAGUGAAGAAGGCCUUAGGGUUGUAAAGCUCUUUCACCGGUGAAGAUAAUGACGGUACCCGUAGAAGAAGCCCCGGCUAACUUCGUGCCAGCAGCCGCGGUAGUACGAAGGGGGCUAGCGUUGCUCUGAAUGACUGGGCGUAAAGGGCGCGUAGGCGGUUUAUGCAGUCAGAUGUGAAAUCCCCGGGCUUAACCUGGGAACUGCAUUUGAGACGCAUAGACUAGAGGUCGAGAGAGGGUUGUGGAAUUCCCAGUGUAGAGGUGAAAUUCGUAGAUAUUGGGAAGAACACCGGUGGCGAAGGCGGCAACCUGGCUCGAUAUUGACGCUGAGGCGCGAAAGCGUGGGGAGCAAACAGGAUUAGAUACCCGCGUAGUC